rnacentral:sRNA from 1 species
AUUAAGACCUUGGAGAUAGAAAUUCAUUGCUUAUCCACAGGGCAUGUUCAGCAUUGCCAACAGCUGUGAAACUUUUCCUAAACAAUGUUCCUCAACAAUGACUUGAAAGGACCACAAUUAGGGGCAGGAGAAUAGUUUAAUUUCCAUGCCCAUUCAAUCCUUGACUUCU